rnacentral:rRNA from 1 species
UACGUAGGGUGCGAGCGUUGUCCGGAAUUACUGGGCGUAAAGAGCUCGUAGGUGGUUUGUCGCGUUGUCCGUGAAAACUCACAGCUUAACUGUGGGCGUGCGGGCGAUACGGGCAGACUGGAGUACUGCAGGGGAGACUGGAAUUCCUGGUGUAGCGGUGGAAUGCGCAGAUAUCAGGAGGAACACCGGUGGCGAAGGCGGGUCUCUGGGCAACUACUGACGCUGAGGAGCGAAAGCGUGGGGAGCGAACAGG